AUCUCUCAUUCUUUUUUCUUUUA
rnacentral:snRNA from 1 species